AUUGAAAUCUGGCGGCAGGACUAAAACAUGCAAGUCGAGCGAGCGGCGGACGAGUGAGUAAUGUAUGGGGACUGCCCGAUAGAGGGGGAUCACUACUGGAAACGGUGGCUACUACCGCAUAAUGUCGGAUAACCCAUAUGGGAUUAGCUAGUAGGUAAGGUAAUGGCUUACCUAGGCGACGAUCACUAACUGGUCUGAGAGGAUGAUCAGCCACACUGGGACUGAGCCACGGCCCAGACUCCUACGGAGGCAGCAGUGGGGAAUAUUGCACAAGGGGCGCAAGCCUGAUGCAGCCAUGCCGCGUGGAUGAAGAAGGCCCUAGGGUUGUAAAGUACUUUCAGUCGGGAGGCGUUACCGACAGAAGAAGCACCGGCUAACUCCGUGCCAGCAGCCGCGGUAAUUC
rnacentral:rRNA from 1 species